GCCUCUAUAGCUCAAUUGGUAGAGCAACUGACUCUUAAUCAGUAGGUUCUAGGUUCGAGUCCUAGUGGAGGCA
rnacentral:tRNA from 1 species